rnacentral:rRNA from 1 species
GUAGUCCACGCCGUAAACGAUGUCGACUAGCCGUUGGAGACCUUAGAGUCUUUAGUGGCGCAGCUAACGCACUAAGUCGACCGCCUGGGGAGUACGGCCGCAAGGUUAAAACUCAAAUGAAUUGACGGGGGCCCGCACAAGCGGUGGAGCAUGUGGUUUAAUUCGAUGCAACGCGAAGAACCUUACCAGCCCUUGACAUGCCCGGCUACUUGCAGAGAUGCAAGGUUCCCUUCGGGGACCGGGACACAGGUGCUGCAUGGCUGUCGUCAGCUCGUGUCGUGAGAUGUUGGGUUAAGUCCCGCAACGAGCGCAACCCUCGCCCUUAGUUGCCAGCAUUCAGUUGGGCACUCUAAGGGGACUGCCGGUGAUAAGCCGAGAGGAAGGUGGGGAUGACGUCAAGUCCUCAUGGCCCUUACGGGCUGGGCUACACACGUGCUACAAUGGUGGUGACAGUGGGCAGCGAGCACGCGAGUGUGAGCUAAUCUCCAAAAGCCAUCUCAGUUCGGAUUGCACUCUGCAACUCGAGUGCAUGAAGUUGGAAUCGCUAGUAAUCGCGGAUCAGCAUGCCGCGGUGAAUA